rnacentral:rRNA from 1 species
AUGAAGUUCGCUUCCCCGCUCACUCACGACGAGGAGCGGGUCGACGCAUGGUAUGGAGGCGAACAGCUGCGGUAUCGCACGAUGGAUGAUCUACUCGGCGACCAGCCGGUGCCGGGACUGAUGCCACGUGACCUGGAGACGCAACUACAGCUCGUGUGUGAAGACGGCGAACCACGGUCCUUUGCAGAGGCCGAGAGAGACACGGCAUGGCGCGCCGCGAUGCAGUUGGAGAUGGAUGCGGUCGAGCAAAACCGCACCUGGGAGCUCGCUGAUCUCCCUCGAGGUCACCGCGCAAUCACCCUUAAGUGGGUGUUCAAGCUGAAGAGGGAUGGAGCCGGCGCCAUCAUCAAGCACAAGGCUCGCUUGGUGGCCCGAGGCUUCUUGCAGCAGGAAGGAGUCGACUUCGACGACGCUUUCGCUCCCGUGGCACGGAUGGAGUCCGUGCGACUUCUCCUUGCGCUGGCGGCCCAGGAGGGCUGGCGUGUCCACCACAUGGACGUUAAGUCGGCAUUCCUCAACGGCGACUUGAAGGAGGAAGUCUACGUGCAUCAGCCACCUGGGUUUACGAUUCCCAGCCAGGAGGGCAAGGUGCUCCGCCUGCGCAAGGCUCUCUAUGGCCUGCGGCAGGCGCCCAGGGCGUGGAACGCCAAGCUGGACUCCACGCUGAAGAAGAUGGGUUUCGAGCAGAGCCCGCAUGAGGCUGCCGUCUACCGACGGGGGAGUGGAGGAAAUGCCCUACUGGUAGGCGUCUACGUUGACGACCUGGUGAUCACCGGCACCAAAGGUGCAGAGGUGGCGGCGUUCAAGGAAGACAUGAAGGCCACGUUCCAGAUGAGUGACCUGGGGCUCCUCUCCUUCUAUCUAGGGAUUGAGGUGCACCAGGACCACUCCGGGAUCGCGCUUCGACAGUCCGCCUACGCCAAGCGCAUCGUUGAGCUAGCUGGGCUCACCGACUGCCAUCCAGCUCUCACUCCGAUGGAGGAGAGGCUGAAACUGAGCCGCGACAGCACGACGGAGGAAGUGGAUGCUACGCAGUACCGACGCCUUGUGGGGAGCCUUCGCUACCUCACUCACACACGGCCGGACUUGGCAUUCUCCGUCGGCUAUGUCAGUCGGUUCAUGGAGCGACCAACGUCGGAACACCAGCAGGCAGUGAAGAGGAUCGUCCGCUACAUAGCAGGGACCCUCGACCACGGCCUCCACUACCCUAGGUGUCCUGGGGCGGCACACUUCGUCGGGUACAGCGACAGCGACCACGCCGGCGACAUCGACACCAGCAAGAGCACGAGCCAGAUCCUCCUCUUCCUCGGCAAGUGUCUCGUGAGCUGGCAAUCAGUCAAGCAGCAGGUGGUGGCCCUGUCCAGCUGUGAGGCUGAGUACAUAGCGGCCUCCACCGCCUGUACUCAGGCGCUCUGGCUUGCUCGACUGCUUGGUGAUCUUCUCGUUCAAGACACCAGAACGGUGCAGCUCCUGGUGGACAGCAAGUCCGCCCUGGCCCUGGCAAAGAACCCCGUGUUCCACGAACGGAGCAAGCACAUCCGACUGAGGUAUCACUUCAUCCGCAGCUGUGUGGAAGAAGGGAGCAUCGAGGCGAGCUACAUCAACACCAAGGAUCAGCUCGCAGACCUGCUCACCAAGCCCCUUGGGAGGGUCAAGUUCCUCGAACUUUGCUCCAGGAUUGGGAUGAUUCAACUCUCCCACAAGACGACGUACAAGACUUAG